UACAGAGACUGCAAGCGUUAUUCGGAUUCACUGGGCGUAAAGGGUGCGCAGGCGGCCAUGUGCGUGAGGCGUGAAAGCCCGGGGCUUAACCCCGGAAUUGCACCUCAAACUACAUGGCUAGAGCAUUGGAGAGGGUAGCAGAAUUCAUGGUGUAGCAGUGAAAUGCGUAGAUAUCAUGAGGAAUACCAGAGGCGAAGGCGGCUACCUGGACAAUUGCUGACGCUCAGGCACGAAAGCGUGGGGAGCAAAAGGG
rnacentral:rRNA from 1 species